rfam:Myotis davidii contig144441, whole genome shotgun sequence.
GGUGGUUCUUGAAUGACACAUCCCAGAAUUGGGCUCCCCCCUCUCUGGUUCUGGAUGCAUCACCCGAGAUCCGCA